GAUGAACGCUGGCGGCGUGCUUAACACAUGCAAGUCGAACGAUGAAGCCCAGCUUGCUGGGUGGAUUAGUGGCGAACGGGUGAGUAACACGUGAGUAACCUGCCCUUAACUCUGGGAUAAGCCUGGGAAACUGGGUCUAAUACCGGAUAGGAGCGCCUACCGCAUGGUGGGUGUCGGAAAGAUUUAUCGGUUUUGGAUGGACUCGCGGCCUAUCAGCUUGUUGGUGAGGUAAUGGCUCACCAAGGCGACGACGGGUAGCCGGCCUGAGAGGGUGACCGGCCACACUGGGACUGAGACACGGCCCAGACUCCUACGGGAGGCAGCAGUGGGGAAUAUUGCACAAUGGGCGCAAGCCUGAUGCAGCGACGCCGCGUGAGGGAUGACGGCCUUCGGGUUGUAAACCUCUUUCAGUAGGGAAGAAGCGAAAGUGACGGUACCUGCAGAAGAAGCACCGGCUAACUACGUGCCAGCAGCCGCGGUAAUACGUAGGGUGCGAGCGUUAUCCGGAAUUAUUGGGCGUAAAGAGCUCGUAGGCGGUUUGUCGCGUCUGUCGUGAAAGUCCGGGGCUUAACCCCGGAUCUGCGGUGGGUACGGGCAGACUAGAGUGCAGUAGGGGAGACUGGAAUUCCUGGUGUAGCGGUGGAAUGCGCAGAUAUCAGGAGGAACACCGAUGGCGAAGGCAGGUCUCUGGGCUGUAACUGACGCUGAGGAGCGAAAGCAUGGGGAGCGAACAGGAUUAGAUACCCUGGUAGUCCAUGCCGUAAACGUUGGGCACUAGGUGUGGGGACCAUUCCACGGUUUCCGCGCCGCAGCUAACGCAUUAAGUGCCCCGCCUGGGGAGUACGGCCGCAAGGCUAAAACUCAAAGGAAUUGACGGGGCCCGCACAAGCGGCGGAGCAUGCGGAUUAAUUCGAUGCAACGCGGAGAACCUUACCAAGGCUUGACAUGUUCUCGAUCGCCGUAGAGAUACGGUUUCCCCUUUGGGGCGGGUUCACAGGUGGUGCAUGGUUGUCGUCAGCUCGUGUCGUGAGAUGUUGGGUUAAGUCCCGCAACGAGCGCAACCCUCGUUCCAUGUUGCCAGCACGUAAUGGUGGGGACUCAUGGGAGACUGCCGGGGUCAACUCGGAGGAAGGUGAGGACGACGUCAAAUCAUCAUGCCCCUUAUGUCUUGGGCUUCACGCAUGCUACAAUGGCCGGUACAAUGGGUUGCGAUACUGUGAGGUGGAACUAAUCCCAAAAAGCCGGUCUCAGUUCGGAUUGGGGUCUGCAACUCGACCCCAUGAAGUCGGAGUCGCUAGUAAUCGCAGAUCAGCAACGCUGCGGUGAAUACGUUCCCGGGCCU
rnacentral:rRNA from 1 species